rnacentral:rRNA from 1 species
GAUGAACGCUGGCGGCGUGCCUAAUACAUGCAAGUCGAGCGAACAGAUGAGGAUCUUGCUCCUCUGACGUUAGCGGCGGACGGGUGAGUAACACGUGGAUAACCUACCUAUAAGACUGGGAUAACUUCGGGAAACCGGAGCUAAUACCGGAUAAUAUAUUGAACCGCAUGGUUCAAUAGUGAAAGACGGUUUUGCUGUCACUUAUAGAUGGAUCCGCGCCGCAUUAGCUAGUUGGUAAGGUAACGGCUUACCAAGGCAACGAUGCGUAGCCGACCUGAGAGGGUGAUCGGCCACACUGGAACUGAGACACGGUCCAGACUCCUACGGGAGGCAGCAGUAGGGAAUCUUCCGCAAAGGGCGAAAGCCUGACGGAGCAACGCCGCGUGAGUGAUGAAGGUCUUCGGAUCGUAAAACUCUGUUAUUAGGGAAGAACAAAUGUGUAAGUAACUAUGCACGUCUUGACGGUACCUAAUCAGAAAGCCACGGCUAACUACGUG